AACGCUGGCGCGCCGCCAGUCUCGGCUGACAGGCGAGGUGACGGGGUCGCGUAGGAGGGGUUGCGGCGGACACCCUGGGGAGAAGGCCCAAGAUGAUGGUCAGGAGAGCUGAGGGGCGGGCGCUGUGCCGGCUGGAAACCCAGGGUCGUUUGUGGUCUGCAGCCGCUGCCAGCCAGGAGCCUCCGCUGGGAGCCGGCCCUGCCGUUCACGCGGAGCAGCUCAGGCCCGGCCUGCCUCCGGCGCGCUCUGUCCUCCCAGGCCGCUGACGCCAUCGGAAGGCGACCGGAAGCGCCGCCGCUGACGCCAUCGGAAGGCGACCGGAAGCGCCGGCGCCGCGUGGCCCUGUGCCCUGUUCCCGAACCCUCUCCGCGCUGUCUCUCCGUGUCCCGUCCUUGGUUCCCUUCUCUGAUUGCAAAGUGGGUCUCUCUGACCUGUUUCUGAGCCCCAUGGGGAAGGAUAAGAAGCGGAGUAGGAGGCGAGGGAGCAAGGAGUGAAGGAAGGGUCUCCUUGCAGACUGUCUGCUAUCAGGCCACGCUCCGGUUGGAACAGAGGCGCGGGUGAAUUUGUCUCUUUCAAAUAGACAAGUGUUUUACGCUUUCGCAUUUACAUUUAGUGUAUCUUCCCCACUGUUGAGUGACCUCCCUGGCCAGCAAGGAGAUCACCCAGGAUGACCCACCUCCCGGGGGCUUGGCCCUAGGUGUCCUGUCGCAGAGCCGGGGUCCUGGAAAGAGGGUUUGGGGAGGGUGUGUGCCUGGCGUCUGCCCUCUUUUCUCGCAGCCCCUCCUAGCUAAGGUCUUCCGUCUCAGACAGUACUGUGUAGAUUUAGCCUCUCCGACUUCUUCCAGUUCUCUAGGCACCCGUGACCUCGUGCACCCAGAGGAAGGUGCAAGGGCCAUGGGACAGUAGGUGGGAGGAGUGGAUAAAACUGGGCAUUUGUGCAAAAUAAACGUUGACAUUUUAA